rnacentral:rRNA from 1 species
GACGAACGCUGGCGGCGUGCUUAACACAUGCAAGUCGAACGGAAAGGCCCUGCUUUUGUGGGGUGCUCGAGUGGCGAACGGGUGAGUAACACGUGAGUAACCUGCCCUUGACUUUGGGAUAACUUCAGGAAACUGGGGCUAAUACCGGAUAGGAGCUCCUGCUGCAUGGUGGGGGUUGGAAAGUUUCGGCGGUUGGGGAUAGACGUGCGGCUUACCAGCUUGUUGGUGGGGUAGUGGCUUACCAAGGCUUUGACGGGUAGCCGGCCUGAGAGGGUGACCGGCGACAUUGGGACUGAGAUACGGCCCAGACUCGUACGGGAGGCAGCAGUGGGGAGUAUUGCACAAUGGGCGGGAGCCUGAUGCAGCAACGCCGCGUGCGGGAUGACGGCCUUCGGGUUGUAAACCGCUUUCGCCUGUGACGAAGCGUGAGUGACGGUAAUGGGUAAAGAAGCACCGGCUAACUACGUG